rnacentral:lncRNA from 1 species
CCUCAGUUUGCCCCGGUUCUCUAAAAGUAACCGUGCGAUUCUUACAAUCGAUCGUGGCAUAAUACUUGGUUAGUCAAUCCAUACCCAAGACCACAUCGAAAUCUCCUAGCUUGCGCAAGGCUAGCAAAUCCACAGGCAUGAUCCAAUCUCCUACCUGAACCCGGCAACUGGGGCAAUACUCUCUAAUAUCCAGAGUGUGGUGGGGUACUACAACGUGUCCCGGAUGCAACAAGAAAAUCGAAGGAAUGCCAUGCAACUCGGCAAACAGCCGAUCUAUAAAUGAAUGCGAUGCACCGGUAUCAAAUAAAGCACGAACUCUAAUGCCAUCAAGUAAAAUAAUACCUGCAACCACACCCUCGGCUGCUGCCGCCUCCUCGGUCUGAGCGGCAUACAAACGCCCACUCGGGGCCUGUCGGAAUCCCUCGCUCUGUCGCUGGGCGGAAGACCGCCUAGGCUGGUUGUCACGCCUCGGGACUCAGCGGAAGCCCGCCCGGCACGUGCACAGACCCGCCAUACGUCUAAAACAUAUAAGGCGUCUAAAACAAAACGAUAAAUGAGUCAAUAAAGGAAAACAACUAGAAGUAUCAGAGCGAUAUACAAAAUCUAGAAAUUAAAGCAAAGUGAAGAGUAGCGAGCUAAAAUCACUAAUAACAAAAUCUCUCGCUCUCCCAAAAUAUGAAAAGAGAGGAAACCACCUAAGAGUAAAAGUAAAUCCUCGCUAUCUAGCUAGCGAUCCCCUUGCCGCGGUCCCGUGCCUCCGCCGGUGCAGAGGGCUCUGAAAAGAAAACAUAAAACAGGGGGCGUGAGAACUAUUAAAUAAUAGUUCCCAGUGGGCAAUUACUGACUUCAGUGAAAUGCACCACUGGGCCCAAAACUAUGCAAGUAAGGUAAAUAAGGCAGGUAAGAAUAAUAUAUGAACAGAUAAAUCACUGAAAUGGUAGCUCAAUAUAGCAUGAAAUCACUACUUCCAUCAGUAAUAAUCUACCACAUGAUCUCUACUUAGCAUGAAUUUGCAUAAGUAAUAAACUACCACAUGAUCUCUAUUUAGCAUGAUUUUGCAUAAGUAAUAAACUACCACAUGAUCUCUACUUAGCAUGAUUUUGCAUAAGUAAUAAACUACCAUGGCAUAAUUGCAGAAGUAUAAUCCCAACACAAUAAUUACAAGCUAGAAUGGUAAUGUGUCAUUAUCUACUAUUCUAGUCGAUGUCCAAAAGGUACAAUAUGUCACCCAGUAACCCAAUCCUGUGGAAGCUACCCGUAGGUAGUCCGGCCUGCGCCGUGCAAACAAUGGCCCCGUGAUAGUCAACAUCUCCACUCUAGGAAUGAGCCUCCCCACGGCAUCCUAUUUUGGCGCCCAAUCCCACACGGGCGAGCAUAUGUCGCGAUGGCUAUCUCCGGAGUGCCGACUUGUAGGGAGCGAUCCUCACAAGUAUGUGCGAAUGAGCACAAUGGCAUGCAAGCGAAUAAGUCCGUCUCAGGUCCCAGUGGUUCAUCACUGUUUCAUUAGAUCUAAAACCCGGAAUACAGCACAUGUCCCAAAGGCCUGUCUCUAUGUCGUCGUGUCUAAAACACGGAAUAUAGUAACUGUCUCAAUGGCCUAUCUCUAUGUCAUCACGUCUAAAACAUGGAAUAUAGUAGAUUUCCAGUGGCCUAUUAUCAUGUCUCUAAGUUGCAGUUCAACAAUUUUCUAGUUCAAGUGCCCCUUUAUGACACUUUUGCUUACUAUGUCCCAAUAUGUAUGAUAAGUCUAAACGCUUGUCAUUCUAAUCAUUUUCCACACAAGAAACAUGAUCUUACAUUAUUCAUUAGAACAUUAAACUCAUGCACACUAACAAUGCAUAUGCUUCUCUCUACAACAUAGAGUCAAUUUUUCAUGAUGCAUAACAUAGGAGUCUUAAGCGCUCUAAAAUUCAUAUAAAUUCCAUUUAACAAGAAUAUGCAUGCAUUUAUAGUAUACGAAAACAUAUAACCACAUAGGAGGCAUUUCCUCCCAUUUCAAUGAAGCCAAACCCACCAAAGGUUAACGAAACCCUUCGUAAGCUCCGACGAAGGUGUCCAAUAGCCUCCUAGCACCCUAUAGAUGUAGGAAUAAAAGUCACAUGAACCUUACGAACAGUACUAAGCUCAAACAUUAAGCUAUUCAAGCUAAGGUGAAGAAAAACUCACCUAGAUAAAGGAAUCCUCAAAUAAAGCUCAAAUAGAAGCCAAAUCCUUUCCAAAGCAACCUAAUCCAAGGUUCUAAACCAAUCAAUUUGGUUCUAGAAGCUACAAAUCCAAAAUCCCCAAUUCUAAC